AAGACCGAAGUACAUGAUUCCAUGCUUCCAAGAAAAGCAUCUAGAGAGAGAAGUAGUGCCCGUACCGCAAACCGACACAGGUAGAUGAGGAGAGAAUCCUAAGGCCGGCGGAAGAAUUGCAGUUAAGGAACUAGGCAAAUUGACCCCGUAAGUUCGCGAGAAGGGGUGCCUGCGAGAGCAGGCCGCAGAGAAUAGGCCCAAGCAACUGUUUAGCAAAAACACAGGUCUCUGCUAAAGCGUAAGCUGAUGUAUAGGGGCUGACGCCUGCCCGGUGCUGGAAGGUUAAGGGGAACACUUAGCGCAAGCGAAGGUGUGAACUUAAGCCCCAGUAAACGGCGGCCGUAACUAUAACGGUCCAAGGUAGCGAAAUUCCUUGUCAGGUAAGUUCUGACCCGCACGAAUGGCGUAAUGACUUGGGCACUGUCUCAACUGCAAAUCCGGCGAAGUUGUAGUGCGAGUGAAGAUGCUCGCUACCCGCGAUUGGACGGAAAGACCCCGUAGAGCUUUACUGUAGCUUAGCAUUGAAUUCCGGUAUUGUCUGUACAGGAUAGGUGGGAGACUGGGAAGCUAGGGCGUCAGCCUUAGUGGAGUCAACCUUGGGAUACCACCCUGACAGUACUGGGGUUCUAACAGGACGCCAUGAAGCUGGUGACUGGACAUUGUUAGGUGGGCAGUUUGACUGGGGCGGUCGCCUCCUAAAAAGUAACGGAGGCGCCCAAAGGUUCCCUCAGAACGGUCGGAAAUCGUUCGUAGAGUGCAAAGGCAGAAGGGAGCCUGACUGCGAGACCCACAAGUCGAGCAGGGACGAAAGUCGGGCUUAGUGAUCCGGUGGUACCUCGUGGGAGGGCCAUCGCUCAACGGAUAAAAGCUACCUCGGGGAUAACAGGCUGAUCUCCCCCAAGAGUCCACAUCGACGGGGAGGUUUGGCACCUCGAUGUCGGCUCGUCGCAUCCUGGGGCUGUAGUAGGUCCCAAGGGUUGGGCUGUUCGCCCAUUAAAGCGGCACGCGAGCUGGGUUCAGAACGUCGUGAGACAGUUCGGUCCCUAUCCGUCGCGGGCGUAGGAAAUUUGAGAGGAGCUGUCCUUAGUACGAGAGGACCGGGAUGGACUGACCUCUGGUGCACCAGUUGUUCUGCCAAGAGCAUGGCUGGGUAGCUAAGUCGGGAAGGGAUAAACGCUGAAAGCAUCUAAGCGUGAAGCCCCCCUCAAGAUGAGAUUUCCCAUAGCAUAAGCUAGUAAGACCCCUUGAAGAACACAAGGUUGAUAGGUCAGAGGUGGAAGUGCGGUAACGUAUGUAGCUGACUGAUACUAAUAGGUCGAGGGCUUGACC
rnacentral:rRNA from 1 species